UACGUAGGGUGCGAGCGUUGUCCGGAAUUAUUGGGCGUAAAGAGCUUGUAGGUGGUUUGUCGCGUCUGCUGUGAAAAUCCGAGGCUCAACCUCGGACUUGCAGUGGGUACGGGCAGACUAGAGUGUGGUAGGGGAGACUGGAAUUCCUGGUGUAGCGGUGGAAUGCGCAGAUAUCAGGAGGAACACCGAUGGCGAAGGCAGGUCUCGUGGGCCAUUACUGACACUGAGAAGCGAAAGCAUGGGAGCGAACAGG
rnacentral:rRNA from 1 species